rnacentral:rRNA from 1 species
CUACGGGGGCUGCAGUAAGGAAUAUUGCGCAAUGGAGGCAACUCUGACGCAGCCAUGCCGCGUGCAGGAAGAAGGCCUUAUGGGUCGUAAACUGCUUUUAUUUAGGAAUAACCCCCUGCUCGUGAGCAGGGCUGAAGGUACUAAAAGAAUAAGCACCGGCUAACUCCGUGCCAGCAGCCGCGGUAAUACGGAGGGUGCAGGCGUUAUCCGGAUUUAUUGGGUUUAAAGGGUGCGCAGGCGGGCUAUUAAGUCAGUGGUGAAAUCCCGGGGCUCAACUCCGGAACUGCCGUUGAUACUGAUAGUCUUGAGUUUGGUUGAAGUGGGCGGAAUGUAGCAUGUAGCGGUGAAAUGCAUAGAUAUGCUACAGAACACCAAUCGCGAAGGCAGCUCACUAAGCCAAAACUGACGCUCAUGCACGAAAGCGUGGGGAGCAAACAGGAUUAGAUACCCUUGUAGUC